UUUAAUCAAUUUUUGGUACGGCACGGUUAAAAUUGGCACCCGUACCACUUUUUUGGUUCUUGGACUGCCUAUUUAGCUAAGCCCCGUUUACACUACGCUCAAUUUUUAGUACCGUACCACUUUUUUGGUUCUUGGACCAAGAACCAAAAAAGUGGUACGGGUACCAAUUUUAUCCGUGCCGUACCAAAAAUUGAGCAUA
rnacentral:miRNA from 1 species